UACGUAGGGCGCAAGCGUUGUCCGGAAUUAUUGGGCGUAAAGAGCUCGUAGGCGGCCUGUUACGUCUGCUGUGAAAUCUCAGGGCUCAACCCUGAAACUGCAUUCGAUACUGCGUGGCUAGAGUGCUGGAGAGGAGACUGGAAUUUACGGUGUGGCAGUGAAAUGCAUAGAUAUCGUAAGGAAGACCAAUGGCGAAGGCAGGGUCCUGGCUGGCACCUGACGCUCAUGUGCGAAAGCCAGGGGAGCGAACGGG
rnacentral:rRNA from 1 species